rnacentral:piRNA from 2 species
UUGAAUGUGAUGGAGCAUCAAUGCCUGU